GUUGUACUCCUCUUGUAUAAAUUUAUAUAUACAUAUAUUUUGCAUAUUAUCUACAUGUUAAAUAUCAUCAAUAACUAUAUAACAAAUACAUUAUUAUUAUUUUUUUUUAUAACUAUAAUAUUAUUUAAUAACAUAACGCACGAAUGAACUUAAAGUAUAGACUCGCAUAAACGUAUAUAAUAUAAUAAUAUGUAUAUAGAUAUCUAAUAUAAUAUAUUUAUAGAUAGUUACAAAUUACAUAGGUAUAACAAUAAUGUAUAGAUAUAUAGUAGAUACACCGUUUGACAUUUAACUAGGUAUAUUAUUAUUAUUAUUAUUAUUAUACAACAAUAUACAUGUGUAGCAUAAAAAAAUAUCGUAACAUACAUAUACAGAUUUGACAAAUCAACAAUAUAAUAUACGAACGGUUUAUAACAAUCUAUAAUCUCGUAAACGGGUUGUAAUAAUAUGGAAUUAUUUGAGCUUUGCGCACGUUUAUUAUACGCGUACGCAUAAUAAUAUUUUAGUUUGUUGUAGUCGUACACGGGACUACGAGAACCGCGAGAACAUAUAAUAUCAUAAUUUCGUUUAAUAUAUAAUAUCAAACAAUAACGAAACGAAAAAAAAAAAAUUAAAAAAAAACAAAAAAAACCGAACGAUUUCGCGUUAAAAUAUCAUUGUAUUUCCGUCUAACAAGCAUAAAAAUUCAAUUAGAAAAUAACACGGUCUAUAUUAUUUAAGAGCGUGAUGUAAUAUUAUUUUAGCAAUAAUGAAAAUAUUCAUAUAUUUUGUCGGUAUAUAUUUUCAUAUAUUUUUUUAUUUUAUUAGUGCGGACUCAGGGUUGGGCAGUACCUUAAAUUAUCUUAGGUACCUUGUAAAUAACUUGUAUCUUGUUUUGUAUAAUUAUUAUUGUAUUGAAAUUUGUACGAGUAACAAUAUGUAGAAAUUCAUUUUGAAGUAUCAUGCCUACAGGUGCCCGAAGGGAAGGGGUGCAAGCUGGGUCAUUUACCCUCUGGCUUUCCGAAAAAUACAUUAAACAUCGAAAGUGAUUGUACGAAAAUAGAGAGGAAUUGUAAGGGGUUUCGAAAAAAAAAAUUCAAAUAAAUACCACCGCAUCUGUAUUAAGAUACGGUAUGUUUGGAAAUUUUGAGGGUGCGUGAAAUAUUGGAAAAUAUUUUGUCGGAACCGUUUUUCUUCGGAAAAAUAAUUCAUCGGAAAAUACAUUGUCGGAACCGUAUUUUGUCAGAAAAUAAUUUUUACCUAACGACGAUAACAUAUAGUCUAGUAGUACUCAUGAUGAAAUUAUAUUGAACAUUUAAUUUUGAUGUAUCAGAUAUCGAGUACCUGGUACUUAAAUACAUGACCUAAGUAUUUAAUAUACUGUAUUGAAAUACAAUAUAUUAUAUAAGUAUCUUUAGUACAUUAUUAGUAUCUUUUGGCUAUCUUGUAUCUAAAUACUGAAUAUUAAUGUAUCUAUAAAUAUUUAUUUUCAAGUAUCUUCCCCGUCCCUGAGUGCGGUGCGUUAAAACAUUUUGAGAUUACCUAGUUAAUAUUAUUAUAAACUAAUAAAUGAACAACUCAAUGCUGCAUCAGGUGACCGCUGUUUUUUAACAGUGAGUUCGAUACGCUUUACAAAAUAUUUUUUUUUCAUGUGAGGUAUACAUUUUCACAAUUUUAUAAUUUAUGAGUCAUUUAUGUUUUAUAGCAAUAUUAUAUUAUUGUAUAUACAAUAGACAGAAAAAAAAAAAAUUAAUAUUCACCGAUAGAGAAACCACGGACCCUCGACAUGAAUAUCGCGGAACCCCAGGGGGCUACGGACCACAGUUUAAGAAUGGCUGAUUUAUAGCAUUACACACGUAGUAAUAAUAUUAUCUAUUAUCAUUAUUGAUUUAACAUAUUAUAAAUAGGUGUCUUCGACUGUAAUACAUUUAUUUGUCAGACAAAGUCACAUAUUUUCAUAUCAUGAUUCGUGUAUUAUAUACCGACUUGGUCGAUGGUCGCAAAACAAAAUAUUUAAUACGGUUUAGUGCCUAGGACCGAAUUUUUAACAGUAUUAUAAUAAUAUAGAGAAGCCUGCGAUGCCGAUUAAAUGGUUUUGUAAUAGGGGGGGGGGAUAAUUUUUAAGAAUUAUUAUUAUUUAUAUAAUAUUUUUAUAGCUAUAAAGAUCUAAUAUAAUAUUAUACAGUGUGAUUUUUAAGCAUGUUCACCUCAUUUGUAUGGUUAAAUUAUGUAAUUUAAAUUCUGAUUUUUCUCAAUAUUUAAGGAGUAUCCUGUGGCGAUAACGAGUUUGGUUUUUCAAAUAAGAACUUUUAUGUUUUAAUGUUAAUCAGAUGAUUUUUCUGAAAAUUUUGACUUAUUGUAAUCGAAAUUUGAAUAGAAAAGUUUCUGAGAUAUUCUGUUUUAAAUAUUACUUCAUGACCACUAUGAAUUAGUUGGUAUCUAACCCUUAUAAAAGGCUAUUACCUAUUCUUAGUAUUUAAAACACAAUAACUCAGAAACUUUUCUUUCAUAUUUCGAUUACAAUAUUUCAACGUUUUCAUAAAUAUCACCUGAUUGACAAUUCAUAUUAAAAUAUUUACUUGUAGUUUCUCUCUGGAAAAACGAAAGUUG
rnacentral:lncRNA from 1 species